UUGAAAGACCAGUUCCCGUACGAUCAUCGAAGUUAAGCAACGUCGAGCCUGAUCAGUACCUAGAUGGGUGACCGCUUGGGAAUGCCAGGUACAGUA
rnacentral:rRNA from 1 species